UACGUAGGGCGCGAGCGUUGUCCGGAAUUAUUGGGCGUAAAGAGCUCGUAGGCGGCCUGUCGCGUCCGCUGUGAAAUCCCGGGGCUUAACCCCGGGCCUGCAGUGGAUACGGGCAGGCUGGAGGCAGGCAGGGGAGAACGGAAUUCCCGGUGUAGCGGUGAAAUGCGCAGAUAUCGGGAGGAACACCGGUGGCGAAGGCGGCCCGCUGGGCAGGAAGGCUCGCAAGAGCCGGCUGACGCUGAGGCGCGACAGCGUGGGGAGCAAACAGG
rnacentral:rRNA from 1 species